ensembl:snRNA U6 U6 spliceosomal RNA
AUGCUUGCUUCAGCAGUACAAGUGCUAAAAUAGGAAUGAUACAACAAAGAUUAGAAUGGUUUCUGCUCACAAAUGACAAAAAAAUUAUAAUGUAUUCCAUACUUUU